AAGACUAUACUUCACAGGAUCAUUUCUGUAGUACGUCUUCACCAAUGGUGUUUCCAACUUGGAGACAUUAAGCAACCACGAUGAUGAGGCAUAGUGCCUUGUCCAGAGCGUGAAAGGGGCUCUGAAGUUGUAUCUCGGUACAAUCUCAAAGCCAUUGAGGAUCGCAACUCCGGGUAUUCCCGGAGUAAUGGACAAGGUGCAAGCUGAGUGGU
rfam:Phlebotomus papatasi Contig36592.1, whole genome shotgun sequence.